rnacentral:lncRNA from 1 species
GAGUAGCUGGGAUUAUAGGCGUGCACCACCACGCCUGGCUAAUUUUUGUGUUUUUAGUAGAGACGGGUUUCACCAUGUUGGUCAGGCUGGUCUCGAACUCCUGACCUCAGGCAAUCUUCCUGCCUCAGCCUCCCGUGGUGCUGGGCAACACUUCAUAGAGUGUUCAAAAAGUCAGAAACAUAGGACUAAUUUAUUUUCAAGCAAUUUAUUAGUAACAUUUUGAAAUAAUAUUGAUCAAUAUAUUUUCCUUUGACUUCCACAUAGUGUCUUAGGUAACUGUCUCUAAAGCAAUAAAUCUAAUUGUUAAUCUAAAAUAUGAUGUUAAAAAUACACUGUAGGCCAGGUGUGGCUCACGCCUGUAAUCCCGGCACUUUGGGAGGCUGAGGUGGGUGGAUCACCUGAGGUCAGGAGUUGGAGACCAGCCUGGCCAACAUGGUGAAACCCCACCUCUACUAAAAAUACGAAAUAGCUGGGUGUGGUGGCACAUAUCUGUAAUCCCAGCUACUCGGGAGGCUGAGGCAGGGGAAUUGCUUGAACUUGGGAGGCGGAGGUUUCAGUGACCCGAGAUAGUGCAACUGAACUCCAGCCUGGAUGACAGAACAAGACUCUGUCUCAAAAAACAAAUUUAAAAACCCUACUAUAUUCCCUGUAUUUCCAAGCGUUUUGGACAAGAUUUAGGGCAUUUUUACAAUUACUUAUUGUUUCCUUGAAUAGGCAGAUAUUUAAGCUCUUAAAAAUUGGGGAAAACUUCAGUGGAAGAAAAAGCGUGGCUUCCAGCCCUUACGCCCUACGUAGCAGGUAACACUUGGAAAGUGAUACAUUAGCUCAGAGCCAUGAUCAACCUUUUCUUGUGUAGUUUCUGCCUUUGGUGUUAUGUUUAAAUAGGCAUUCCUCACACUAAAAUUAUACAGUCACUGUUGUUUUCUUUUUUUUUUUUUUUUUGAGACGGAGUCUCACUCUGUCGCCCAGGCUGGAAUGCGGUGGUGUGAUCUCGGCUCACUGCAACCUCCACCUCCCAGGUUCGAGCUAAUUUUUGUAUUUUUAGUAGAGACAGGGUUUCACUAUUUUGGCCAGGCUCGUCUUGAACUCCUGACGUCAGGAGUUCAAGACCAGCCUGGCCAACGUGGUGAAAUCCAGUCUGUACUAAAAUCAGCUGGGCAUGGUGGUGCAUGCCUGUAAUCCCAGUUACUCGGGAGGCUGAGGCAGGAGAAUUGCUUGAACCGGGACCCAGGAGCCAAGAUGGUGCCACUGCAUUCCAGCCUGGGCUACAGAGUGAGACUUCUUCUCAGAAAAAGCAAAAAAAAAAAAAAAAAAAAAAAAAAGCAAAACAAAGAAAAAGCAAUACUCUGAUUAAAAAGCACAAACUAGAGUAGACACUGUUGGCUGCCUAGCCCACAGUUUCUUUCUUGCUGGAAGAGCUGAUUUUCAUGUGAGAGGCUGAAAUGUCAGAAAGACGCCUGCCAGCACUUGUCCUGGCAGCUAAGGCAUUGGCCUGUGACCCAGUAAGUCUUUGCCAAUGGACCUUAGGGGUAAGUCUGCUGGUGAGGUACUCUGAAAAGUUUUCCUCCUCAGUUAAAAGAGAAACAUAAAAGGAAACAUUGUCCUUUCUACCUUUGGGCAUGGUUGUGUGAUAACUUGAUGUCUUGAGCCCUGUGAUGUCUUGAGCCAUGGCAGCCACCUUGCUACAAUGAGGGGACAAGCCUGGGGAUAACAGACAAUACACAGAUCACUGAACACUAAGACAGAAAGAGUCUCGGUCAUUGAGGUCAUUGUUGAGCUACUGAAUUAACCUUCCCUGUACCCUCCCUGUAGCUGCUACCUCUAAACUUUUUUUUUUUUUUUGAGAUGGAGUCUCGCUCUGUCACCUAGGCUGAAGUGCAGUGGUGCGAUCUCAGCUCACUGCAACCUCCGCCUCCCAGGUUCAAGUGAUUCUCCUGCCUCAGCCUCCCGAGUAGCUAGGACUACAGGCACGUGCCACCACGCCCAGAUAAUUUUUUGUAUUUUUAGUAGAGACAGGGUUUCACUGUGUUAGCCAGGAUGGAUGGUCUCAAUCGUCUAACCUUGUGAUCCACCUGCCUUGGCCUCCCAAAGUGCUGGGAUUACAGGCGUGAGCACCCCCGCCUGGCUCUAAACCUCUUUUUACAUGAGAUAGUAAAUAUUCUUCUGUUUAAGUCAUUUUCUGUUAGGCUUCUAUAUUUGAAGAUAAAAUAACUCUACAUUUGAACAAUUUUUCAACUCAACUGUUUUGAUUUGUUAUGGCCCUGGGUAUGUGUAAGACUAGUGUGAUUCACCUAGCAUCUUUUUUUCUGAUUGAGACUUUGGCUUGAGGAGUAGCUAUAGUGUUGCUGAGGUGUUACUGAAUUAUGAACCUAUAUAUAUUAUAAAACUUGUUUUUUUUUUUUUUUUUGAGACAGAGUCUGUUGCCCAGGCUGGAGUACAGUGGGGCGAUCUUGGUUCACUGCAACCUCCAUCUCCUGGUUUCAAGCAAUUCUCCUGCCGCAGCCUCCUGAGUAGCUGGGAUUACAGGCAGGUGCCAAUAGGCACGGCUAAUUUUUUAUAUUUUUGGUAGAGACAGAGUUUCACUAUGUUGGCCAGGAUGGUCUCGAACUCCUGACCUCAGGUGAUCCGCCCACCUCGUCCUUCCAAAGUGCUGGGAUUCAGGCGUGAGCCGCUGCACCUAGCCGUGAAACUUAGUUUUUAUAAGCUAAGCUCAAUCAAUAUACCAUCCAAGGUGGAAUACUGAUUCUCUUUUAUAUAUCUGAUAAGUAAGGUAGACUGUGCUGUGGAAGUGAAUAUUAGAAUUCUAUAUCUCUGACUCAGUUCUGAUCCCAUGAUAUAACAUUCUGACUUACAUAGUCAAAAAUACCUACCACGGCCGGGCGUGGUGGCUCAUGCCUGUAAUCCCAGCACUUUGUGGGGCUGACAUAGGUGGAUCACUCGAGGUCAGGAGUUUGAGACCAGCCUGGCCAACAUAGUGAAACCCCAUCUCUGUUAAGAAUACAGAAAUUAGCCGGGCGUGGUGGUGCACGCCUGUAGUCCCAGCUAUUUGGCAGAUUGAGGCACCAGAAUUACUUAAACUCAGGAGGCAGAGGUUGCAGUGAGCCGAGAUCGUGCCACUGCACUCCAGCCUGGGGAUAGAGUGCGACUCAGUUUCAAAAACAAAACAAAACAAAACAAAAACAUAUUAAAAAAAAAAACCUACCAAAAUACAGUGACAUGAUUAAAGAAUAUCCUCUUCACUCAAAGAAUGCUGGGAAUGUCUGUUUCAGUUAAUUGGAGAUAUGUGUAUGCAUCCAAGCUUGAAUAAUUGCCAAGACCCACUAUUCAUUUAUUUAUUUAUUUUUUUUAGGUAAACUGACCCAAUGUUUUCUAAAGUUUGCAUGCAAAAAGUUGCACUUACUGUGUAUUUUCAACACUGUGUUCUCUACAUUAGGUGUACAAUG